UCCGACAACAAAAGAACAAGACAAAAAAAAAUCAAAAAUCAAAACAUACCCUGUGGCUGCACAUCUUCUUCCCUACGCCCCUGCCCUCAAUCGCCGCUGACGCCGCCCCGUCCACCGCCCGGCCCUUGCUGCUACCUUAUGUCCAUCCUGCCGCCCAGCCAUGCGUGAUGCACGGACACUGCUUCCUCUCCUCAGCUCACUAACUCUAAUGGAGACACUAAUGAGGAAGGAUUAUCAUUGGAGUAGAUCUGUCGGACGAGGAGUGGGACGGAGGAUGAAGCCGACGACAUCACUGUCAUGUCAUGCCAAGGCGUAGAGAUAUGGCUCCCAACCACGGUUCUCGGCGCGUGGGGGGCUUGUGUUGCGUGGGGCGGCGGUGGCGGUGAGCUCCUCGGCUUGUGGAUUCCUGGCCCUUCCUUCUACUAGUGAGCAAGAAACGAGCUCGAAUUCGGAAGCAACCGCGUGAUUCAAACGAUGAGGAUCUUAAUGCGGGUCAUGACGUGCUUGAGCCCGUAGGGGAUGGUGUUAACUUUUGGUAGACCACUGGUUCUCUCUAUUUCUGGGCUCUCAUUUGGCUGGUCCAGUCUGGGUUCCGUUGGCAUAUUGGUGCUGUGCUUGGCUGAGGCCAUCGGCCUCAUUGCCAGAAUUGGCAUACAAGUAACCUCCUCUCAUUAUUACUAAUCUUGCCACAUGCUGGAAGCCUCAAACUGUCUACAGACUGAUUCACAAAAAAAGUUAGUGUCUACACACUGCAGUGAUCUUCCUAUGUUCUGUUGAUUUCAUUACAGAUCUCAUAAAUGACAUAAAUCAAUGAGAGACACUUGUAGACUCUCUGUCACCACAACAAACAAUGAGGUAAUGAGAUGUUACUUGGAGAAAUGGCAAUGUCUGUUUAAAGUUCCAUCGCAGGGUGUACCCUUUGUAGUUCUUACAUGUGAGAUGUAUAUGCUCCUUUCUCCACUUUUGUAAAAUAAAUCUAGAUGUACAUGCUCUAUUUACUGAUUGUUAAAUUAAAAUGAAGGUGUUUGUUGAUUAGCCGUGUAAAUUUAUUAUUUUAUAAAUAUUAUACAGAUUACUGUGGGCACAUUGGGAGUUGUCAAAUUAGCCUAGAUCAUAGUUUCUUGCAUAUACAGUUGAUACAUCUGGGAUUGAACUAAUUUUCUUCGAUCUGAGCAUGCCAUCUUUGGUUCAGACAAGGGAAUAGUUAGUUUAGCAUGAACUGUUAUUAUUUGAGUAGACAAAUGACUCGAGAACUCAAAACCUAAAUUAAGCUAUUUGACUAUUUGCAUUCGGAUCUGAUCUAAUUACUGGUGUAUUUGUCUCCCCUAACUUAACUCUGUUAUUUGGAGGUAAUUAUUGGAUUCAUGAUCUUAUAUGUGUUGAGGUCAUGAUUGCAUCACACAUAUCUAUCUGCAGUUUGUUCUCGUUUAGCUAUGUGUGCAGGAGAUGUGGGCUUUGCAGAGAGUUUGCAAAAUGCUGACAAUUUUAGUUGGAGCUAAUGUCGGCCUCUUGUAUUAACUACAACCUGUUCUGGUAAUUGUAAAUUGGUUAAAUAAUUUGAACCUGCGGUCAAUAGAUGACAUGUCACCAGCUAAAAUUGAUGAAACACAUGUGGAGGAUGGGAAUGCACUGAGGAUUAGAUUCUUGGUAGAGAUGUUUAAGUACAAGGACAACGAAUCUAAAUACAAUAUUCGUGAAGAUAUACAAGAACUUAUUAGGCGUGUGAGGAUUUAGAUGGCCUACCUAUGAUGUUAUUUAUUUGACAUAUUGCUCUUUAACAGAAUUGCAAUGGGCUCAACAAUACGAUAACUCAUUAUGAAUC